UGAAUUAAUGUGUUCAGAAUGGACAAGCAGAAUAGUCUUUGGAUUUGAUCCAAAUCCUGAAGCAUUUUGGGAAUGAGAAUGGCUGUACCAGACAGAGAGACCCUGGCGACUUAUGAUACUGCAGAACACAACAGGCACUUCAGAUUGGUCCCAGGCAAAAGAAAGGAGUAUAGAGAUUUAUUCUCCCACUGGCAUGAAUGCUGUGAUUCUGACCACCUUCUACAUCACUGUCUACCACCCCUACACCAGCUCUUAGAAGACAGAGUAACUACAGG
rnacentral:lncRNA from 1 species